rnacentral:rRNA from 1 species
UACAGAGGGGGCAAGCGUUGUUCGGAAUUACUGGGCGUAAAGGGCGCGUAGGCGGCCUUCUAAGUCGAACGUGAAAUCCCCGGGCUCAACCCGGGAACUGCGUCCGAUACUGGAAGGCUUGAAUCCGGGGGAGGGAUGUGGAAUUCCAGGUGUAGCGGUGAAAUGCGUAGAUAUCUGGAGGAACACCGGUGGCGAAGGCGGUUCUCUGGGCCUUACCUGACGCUGAGGAGCGAAAGCGUGGGGAGCAAACAGG